CCUUGGCUCAUUAUAACAGAAUUUAUACUGCUGUUUGGUUUGUUUCUUGCUUAUUGACUUUUUAAAUAAUUUUCUUUGUUUUAGCCAUCGACAUUGGAAUCGAAUUCUUGCUAGGAUUUUUUUUAGCAUAGAAGAAAAGUGCCCACCCUUAACCGUUACUGUGUGCUCCGUUUGUUUGGAAUAUAAGUUGAUGCCUUAGUUUUAAAUUGCGAGAAUUGUAUAUAUCCAAUGCAUAAGAUGUCUUUUCUCUAUUAAUUAAUUUGAAACUUCAAUACUAACUGCUUAUGUUGUUAGAUUUUUGGGAUGGUGACUGGUACAAGAAUGUCCUCAUGUUUAGUUGUACUCAAAUUUGCCAUUCCUAUUUUUAUUUAAGGUAAAAAGAAGUGGUGGAUCGUGGUGGAGAUCAUCCACAGAUGGUUUUGAUGGUUGCGAUCGACCCAACGCUUCUUAACUGGUGAUGAGGACACUUUGGAUGGCCUACUUUGUAGGCAACCGGUUGCUCCCUGCUAUGCAAAAAGAAAGACUUCGACGGUGAUCUAAUACGCAAAAAAAAAGUCUUCUGCGGUGAUCUAAUAAUGUUCGAUGGAUAGGGAAGACUUAGCAAAGUAUAUUUAUUUUCACUAUCAGGUUUUGUUUUCGCUUCUACUCUAUUUUUGUGAAGAAUUUAUUUUCAUCUCGAUUCAUUUAGUCUAUUUGGUA